AUUCAGCCAGCCGAAACAAGGAUGCACUCAAGCUGGAGAACCUGAUGAGGACCUAGACUGACAUCCCAUCACUUGUCAUGUUUCCUGAUCCUCUGCAUGAUCCUCACCACUCUCAAACUCUGCAGCCUCCUCUGGACCUUGAUGAGAGCUGCAACUUCUCUGUCGGACCCUCUCCUCAAUGGGUCAUCCACUCCAUGCCAGGAAAAGCCUGCCUUGGUUCCUGACCUGAUCACCGUGGUCUGAGUGAGUGUGCAUCUGCUGGACAUAAAGCCUAAGGCUUAAGACUUUGGAAUGUAGCAAGCAGAGCGAAUGUCUGUCAUUAGCUGUUGUGAUUAAGUGUGUUUGCUGUGCUUAGAAUUAAUCUAGAAUUGUUUGCUGUGAAUUAAUUAAUCUAGAAUUGUUUGCUGUGAAUUGAUUAUGUCUAUUACAGUGCCUAACCUUAAGGAUUGUUGUUUUCUUAUUAAGAACUUAUAGAGUGAAAUUGUAUUGAGUAAUUUGAGUGAAUAAAGCAUUGAAAGGGGCAAAAGACGAUGAACAUACUUUAUUUCUCUCCUCAAUUGCAAUUUUGCCCCCUCGUGACAUCCCCCUUCCACCAUGAUAUUCUGCUUCCCCUAAGGCCAGAGCUAAGGAAUAAUCCAAUCUCUGAAUCUCUGAAACCAUGAACUAAGAUAAACUUUUUCUCCUCUGUUGUUCUUGUUAGGUCAUUUAUUCACAGCAACGAAAAAAGCUGACUAAAACAAUUUCCACCUUCCACUGUAAAAAUGCAUGUUCCCUGUAGUAUAAAAUACACGUUUUCCCCUUGUCCUCAAAGUACUAUUAAAAGGUUUACUUCUCACAGAGCCAUGGUGCUAGAUGUGUAAGGUGUUGAGAGACUGCAACAAAUCAUUUGGAGCAGCCACAACAAACUCUCUGCCAUAACUGGGUCAGCUGUGCCUCCCAUUUUACUUUCCACAAACUAUAAAAUCUCUAUUCUGGCAGCUCAAAAUGAAAAUGUUCCUUGAUUUUUACCCUUCAUUUUUUAUGUAGGCCUAAAAGCGUAACAAGAGUUCACUAUAAUCUGUCAGAAUUAAUUUCAUCUUCUAAAUUCAGGGAACAUAUAGGUCACACAGAUUUUAUUUAAAAGGAAUUAAAACUUGGGAAUUUAGUUAUUAGGGAAGAAAGAUGGAGACAGAGAAACAUUAUAUUAUCACCAAUUCAAUAAACUCAGAAAGAGACAUAAGGAAACUGCAUUUAUAAAAGAAAUACAGAAAUCAAUAAGAGAAAAAAUAUGAGUUCAGAAGUUUUUGACCUUUAAAACAUAAUCACUGAAUUUUAGAAAUACCACAGAACCAUGGGGCAAACAAUUUAAUAUAAAAAAAUCUGAAGAGUUAAUUAGAAAAUAUCAAGGAUAUUACAGAAGUCAGUACAAAUGUGCAUAGCUCUAUGGCUCCUAAAAAUGAUCUGAGACAUGUCUUAUUAAUCAUACAUAUAUUAUUUAGCAAUUAGAACAGUGAAAAAAUAGUGAACAUAUCAAUGAAAGAUAAAAACCACAGCUUCUUGAAAUUAAAUACCAAUAAAACAAAUAAGUAAAAUAAACAAAAGCUAUGUAUACAGAAGUAUAACUUACUGAGAAGAAAAAAAAUAUGUGAAAUUGAAAAUAAAAAUUUACAAGUGUAUCUUGUAAAUAUUGUUGCAGAAGAAGUGAAAAAUAAUGAAUAGACACCAUUUAUUUCUUCAAUCGUAAGAAGUAUCUGAAAUAUCUGAAGAGUAAUGAUUAUAGUAGCCAAUAACUAUUGAGUAUUUUGUAAUGUUCCAGGAAGUAUUCCCAUCAAAAUUUUAUACCUAUGAAUAUGUAUAUGUGUGUGUGUGUGUGUGUGUGUGUGAAUGUGCACAUGUGUUUGCAGUACUAGGGAUUAAACCAAGUGCUUUACUACUGAGGUAUGUCCCCAGUCCUUUUUUUUUUUUUCUUUUGAAACAGGGUCUCGACAGGCCUUGAACUUGCAGUUCUUGUUCUCAGCUUCUCAAGUAACUGGAAUUACAAGCAUAAGCCAUGGCUCCUGGCUUAUAUUCUUUAAUAUUUAAAAAUGUCUUAUGAAAAAUAGAAUAAAAUUUUGGUUAAGAUGAAGGAAGGACUUUGAGUCAGACUGUUUAGAUUCAGAUUCUGCCUCUGACACUAACAGGUUGUGCAACAUUUUGUAAGUUACCAAAACUUUCUAUAUCUGUUUCCUCUUCUAAAUUUCUCAUAAGAAUAUUAUGAAGAAUAAAUAAAUUAGCAUGUGAUAAAUUACUCUGAACUGGAAACAAUAUAUAAUAGGCUCUAUAAAAAUGCUAACUAGUGAUGAUAAAUACUAGUAUUUUCUCCAUUUUGCAGAUGAAGAGACUAAAUUACAAAGUGUAUAAGUUAAGGAACCUACCCACCUUUACAUAUAGAGGCUAUGGUGAGUACAAUGAAUUUACAUUUUUAGAUUCUGAAAGAAAAAUGCAUAGAAAAGGACAAGAAACCACAUACCUUUUCUAAAUUUAAGCAUCUGUAACGGAGAAGAGCUGCAAAUGAAAACAGGAAUAAGAUACAUACCAGCAUGCAAAAAGGAGUAGCUUCCUUCCUUAGUAACAGGAACAAGGUUUUGAGUUUACAGCAAACAGACCAGAGGAAUAAGAGAAGUGACUCUAAACAGAAAGAUUGAGGUGGUGUUCUUGUUCUAUUUUGGUUUGUGUUUUUCCUCUAAUCUAUGUUCAGCACAUGAUUGUUGGAGCUCUUUCUUUGCUUUCACAAAUAUGGGAAACAGCGCAAUCUUGCUUCAGUACAAUUGGUCAAAUCUCUCAUCUGAACAACCUUCAGUUAUGUUAUAUAUGGUGAUAUGGCCUGCAAAUAAUUGGCAACAUUGCCUGUGUUCUAACCAAACUGAUAUCAUGGUGGCUCAAAUCAAGUUUGACAACAAACCAUGAACUGAAUGACAAAUGUCCCUUCAGUUUAUAAUAUAUUAAUGAAUGAGGUUAUUUUUUGGCUUAUAAGUUGCUUCUAUAAUUGCAGGCAAUAAUAUCUGGAAUGUUUUUACCAGAAGAUGUUUAAAAAUCAUGGAAAUUUUGCUUUUCUAUUGGGAUGAACAACAUUUAGAUUUCUAAAUUUCAAAUGUGAUUAUCUUUGAUUAUUUGAGCCAUAAAUUGUUUUUUAAACUAUUUUACAAAGGAAAAAAAAAACAACAUCUGCAUUAUCAUUGCUAUAAUAUCACUCAAAAUAUCAGUUAGCUAAACUAAUUUUUAAAAAUUAUGUUUAUGUUUGGCAGUCAAACAAGCAAUAACUAUUCUUGACAUUUGUUGACAAUUGAUGUCAUUAAGAAUAGUUUCAAGUAUAGAAUUGUAAUAUUCUGUCACAUUUGGAAGUUUUCAGAAAUUUAAUGAAAACAAAGCAUUUCAAAAAAAUGUUCUAAGUUUCUAUUGUGGCUAUCUAGUUUAAAAAGCACAAAUUACUAAUCUUUUUGAACCAAUGGGAAAUACUUUGUGCUAACAUCAUUGCUUUAUACUAACAUUCUGGGUACUGUAACUUAUUUCUCCAUUCAAUGCUGUAUAAUUGAAGGAGACAUGGAUAUUUCCUAAAUCAAGAAAAUAUUCUCCUUUUCCUUCAAGAAAUCUUAUUACAGUUAAAUGAAUGACACUAUAUGAGCUCUGUAAUCUAUCACUGUGUGCUAACAAUGUAUACAAAAAUAAGGUGAUGGUGACAAUCCAAAAGAAAAAAUAAUAUUUCUGUGUAGGUAAAUUAAAUAAGACUUCAAGAUUGUGUACAUUUAAUUUUGAAUAUUUCCUCUGAGCUUUGGUUCCAAUUAAAUUCAGCACUUCAUAUUGCUGGCAACAUCCAUCUUUCAGCUCACAGUGUCCCCUUGUUCCUUUGGUACAGGAUGACUUUUGAAGCUGCAUCUUUGUGUGCAUUUGCACCUUGAAAUGGCAGUGGAGCUGUGAGAACAUUUACAACUGAGGGAGUGAGGAACAAUUAGCUCCUCCACUUCAAUGAUAAAGAGAAAGGAAACAUUUCGUUUAGUAUUCAACAUAGCACUUUUUUUUUGAGGGAGUCACAUAUCCAUUUCCAAAUUUCCAUUCUUUAUUGACACAAAAAUAAAUUGAAAUCAGAGUAAUGAAUAUCCAAUCAAUAGAAUAUUCUCAUUUAUAGUCUUCUAGUAUCCUUCAUUGCCCAAGGCUACCAGUUACUAUAAUAUAUAUGUAUGUAUGUAAAAUAUAUAUAUUGAUAAAUUAAGUAUAUAUAUUUAUAUAUAUUUGAUUUACAUAUAUAUAUAUAUAUAUAUAUAUAUAUAUAUAUAUAUAUAUAUAUCUACUUAAUUUAUCAAUUUAUCAAGUAAGUUUUAAGUUUUAUUUCAAUACAUAAAGUAUGAUUUUCAAUCAAAGUAUUAUGCCCAUAUCAUUUUAAGGUAACAUAAAUGCCUGGUACACGAGCCAGGCCUUGGAGAAGUUUUUAACUAAUAGAAUGAUUCACCUUUAAUAUAAAUAUUGACCUAAAAAUAGUAAAACAUAUACAGUUCAAAAUUUUUCAUAAUCAUAAAAUGGAUUUGUGUCUUCAUUACUCUGGGUAGGAAAGCGGAGCUUUUUUUUUUUUUUAGGACAAGCCUGACAUACAUCAUCAACCACUAAUGAGAAAUGAAGUUAGGCUAUAAACCACAAGUUGCAAUGGAAUUUUCUAUUUGGAACACUAGUCAUUUAUUAGAACCAUUAAAACUCUUUGGUGUUAGUGGAGAUAUUUUGAUUCUAGAGAAUAACUUUUACGAAGAAUAGUUAACAUGAUACAAAAUUGUGGGAAUAAGAUUAGGAUAAUAAAAUGAACCUGACCUUUUGGCUCUAAAAUAGAUCUAGCUUUAAUUCCUAUAUCCACUACUUAUAAAUAUAUAUUUUGGGAAACUGCUCAAGCUCUCAAACCUCAGUUUGCUAAUCUGUAAAAACAGAUAAAUAGUAAGCAUCCAGAAUUGUUUAAAUAGUACCAAAUAAGACCUGGGCAGAAGGAACUCAGCUUUUAUCCACUCAUUGGAAACAUAAUACACAAGAUACCCACCUACCUAUCUAGUUUUGGACAUGGGCAGAAAAUAAUUAAUAAUACCCAAGAUUCUUCACUCUUUAUCUAGUGUUCUUCACAAGAUAAACCCAUCAUUUUUUUAGGGCUUUGAACGACUUGACUCUAAGUAUUACUUCAUAUAACAACAUGUUGGGUAAAAACAUCUAUCUUAAGAUAUUUUAAGUAUUAAAUUCAUGCAGUUCGUAUGCUUAUAAGCCUUUGAAACAGUUAAUGCAACACAAUAUAUACUAAUACUGAUAAUGAUUAUGAGACUAAAAUAAUCAUUAUAAUAAUAUUGCAAUAUUGACAUGAGAGUGAGGUAUUUCUGUUGAAUUGUAUAUUUUAUUUUUCUCUUCUAUGUCAAGCCAGCUUCCUCAAUUUUAUGUAAAAUCUUAAAUAAACGUUGCAAAAUGAAUUAAAAA
rnacentral:lncRNA from 1 species